rnacentral:lncRNA from 1 species
GAGUGCCUAAAGUCUAAACAAUAUUUAAGCAGUUAAAGACUAUUUUUUUGCAACAUUGAUUAUGCUACAAUUCUUUUAAGAAUGUUUGAUGAUAGAUUUUCACAUGCAAACAUAUCUAAUGUGGGCAAGCAAGAUAUUGCUUGAAAUAGACCAAUCCUCGAGCGAUAUGCGGGCAACAAUUUGGAUUUAAUAUUGGUCCCCUUAUAGCCCCUUGAGAUAGUAUUUUUUGAAAACUUCAAAAUAUUCAUAAUAAUUGUAGUAUAAAUAGUUCGUGAAUACCAAUAUGCAAAGUUCAAAACAUGCAUGUAAUUAACACAACAUUUGUCUAAUGCAAUUUGGGAGGAAUACUUGUGUUUACUUCUUUUUAUGGUUCUUUUAGUUAGUGGGAAAAAGAAGAAUUAAAGUGGGUUGUUGGGAUUUUUAAGGUAAAAUAUAUAUAAUGUUGUACGUAAUUUUUAUAUUAAAAGCUCAAAAUAUAUAUACCUCAUUUACAAAAGACAGUAUCUUUGUGAUU